GGUAAUGCUGGGCGACUCUGGUGAGACUGCCCGGUUAACCGGGGAGGGAAGGUGGGGACGGCGGUCAAGUCAUCAUGGCCCUUACGCCUAGGGCUACACACGUACUACAAUGGCGCAUACAAAGGGCAGCGAUACCGCGAGGUGGAGCCAAUCCCAAAAAGUGCGUCCCAGUCCGGAUUGCAGUCUGCAACUCGACUGCAUGAAGUUGGAAUCGCUAGUAAUUCGAGAUCAGCAUGCUCGGGUGAAUGCGUUCCCGGGCCUU
rnacentral:rRNA from 1 species